rnacentral:lncRNA from 1 species
AUAAGGGGUUUCACCUUGUUGCCCAAGCUGGUCUUGAAGUUCUGGGCUCAAGCGAUCUGCCUGCAUUAGCCUCCUAAAGUUCUGGGAUUACCAACAUGAGCUACCAUGCCUGGGUCAAAGCCAUUCUCUGAGCUGAAGAAAAACUACAAAAGAUAGAAACUCAGAUGUGCAGGAAAGAAUAUAGACACCAAAAAAGGAGUGCAAUUUUGACCAAUUACUUUUUACUGGAAGAACUUCAAGAAUAGCUAUGAAGCAUAUGAAGAGGUCUUAGUGUCCCAGCACCAUUUGUUGAAAAGGAUAUUCUUUCCCUGUUGAAAUAAUGUCUUGGCACCCAAACUGAAAAUGAAUUCACCUCAGAAUGUAUAGAUAAAGUGGAAGACUACUCCUAGAGAGAAGCAAUUGUGCCUGGUAAUAUAUACACAUGCUACAAAGUAUAAAAGGCACGAGAACAUGAGAAAUCAUUCUCAGUCUUAUAUCUGUAUCACGGCCA